AGUAUAUACGGUAAGUAGAUCUUUGAGGUAGUGCAUCACUUGGUGUGACACUUUUUUUAGGUGAUUUGUUCCGAAUUCUGUUAACUUGUUCUUUUUGAGAACCAUGGGAGGUUCCCAAUAUAUCAGAUUGCAAUAGUUCCAUUUCAGUACGGCGUACAUGGUGAGUUUUUUGUUCUUUGUUCUCAGAUGUUUUUUUAAUAGAAGGAUUGUUGGAGGUUUUCCAUUUAUUUUGAGGAUUGGAGGCCAUUUUGGUGUAAGUAAGAUGAGAUAUAAAGACUGUCCACUAGAGGGCGCAGUGAAGUUGUGGCACUUCAGGGGUAAUUGCACUUUAUAUGAAGGAAAGAGACAGUGAGGACUUUCCUCCUGUGUGAUCUCUUCAGGUUAUUGCUGAGGAACAAGUGUAUGAGCUUUAUAAUGAGCACAGAGAUAUAGAGAGGAGCUGUGUAGUGCUGGCAGGUAUUAUGACUGUAAAGCAACCGUCCUGCGUAAAAUAAAAAAAAAACAAGGAAUUCAGGAAGUGGGAGCAGGAGUUCCGGAACCAUCUCCUGCCAGAGGGUCGGAGUGAGACAGGCCUUGGUGGUCCUCAUAUGUCGCCUGAAUCCGAGAGUGCUGGCAAUCAACCAGGUCCAUCUGCAGGGAGGAUGGUCCGCCAUCAAAACUUGCCCCAAUCACCUGUCCUGUCCUCAGCACCGGCUGAGAUAGAUGAGGAGGAGGAGGUGUCCCCAGGUGAACAACACCAACCACUCUCCCCAACCCUAGCUCCUGGCUCUGUCCCAAGGAAUACUUGCCUGCAGCUUGCUAAAGAAAUCCAAAGGCUGGCCAAGGAGAACAGGAACAUGUCGCGCGAAUUGCGCCGGAUGAAUCGCACCAUGGUUGAACUCCACCGAUCACAAAAACAAGAGUUCCAAGCCCUGUUGGCCAAACAAAUGGGAGAAUUUAAGGCCAUGUUGUCCCACCAUAGCCAACAACAGAUGCAGGCGAUGCAUGAUUUGAGGGUGGACGUUAUGCCCCAUAAGCAGCAGCAGCAAUACCCCCAAAAAAAACUGAAAUAUACGGGACUAAAUUAUUUCGCCUUGUUGAUAUGUUUCAGUUGUUGUUCUGUUUAAGAUAUGUUAUUAUUACUACAGCAGCAUUGAAGGCCUUGGCCAUUCAAGAAAAAACAAACAUUUUUUUCUUUAUCCUGUGUGGUGUCUAAAUUAUUACUAACAUUACAUUAUUUUUAUUUCCACUUUUUUUUUUUUUUUUUUGUGUUGUCCACAUCUUGGGGGAGAUUUAUCAAAACCUGUCCAGAGGAGAAGUUGCCCAUAGCAACCAAUCAGCUCGCUUCUUUAAUUUUU